rnacentral:rRNA from 1 species
CAGCCGCCACGGGAAUACGUAGGGGGCAAGCGUUAUCCGGAAUAACUGGGCGUAAAGGGUGCGCAGGUGGUUUAACAAGUUAGUGGUGAAAGGCAUAGGCUCAACCAAUGUAAGCCAUUAAAACUGUUUAACUUGAGUGCAGGAGAGGAAAGUGGAAUUCCUAGUGUAGCGGUGAAAUGCGUAGAUAUUAGGAGGAAUACCAGUGGCGAAGGCGACUUUCUGGACUGCAACUGACACUGAGGCACGAAAGCGUGGGGAGCAAACAGGAUUAGAUACCCCCGUAGUCCCUGUCUCUUAUACA